ACGAACGCUGGCGGCAUGCCUCACCCAUGCAAGUCGAACGAGACCUUCGGGUCUAGUGGCGCACGGGUGCGUCACGCGUGGGAACCUGCCCUUAGGUUCGGAAUAACUCCCCGAAAGGGGUGCUAAUACCGGAUAAUGUCUUCGGACCAAAGAUUUAUCGCCUUUGGAUGGGCCCGCGUUGGAUUAGCUAGUAGGUAGGGUAAAAGCCUACCAAGGCGACGAUCCAUAGCUGGUCUGAGAGGAUGAUCAGCCACACUGGGACUGAGACACGGCCCAGACUCCUACGGGAGGCAGCAGUGGGGAAUAUUGGACAAUGGGCGAAAGCCUGAUCCAGCAAUGCCGCGUGAGUGAUGAAGGCCUUAGGGUUGUAAAGCUCUUUUACCCGGGAUGAUAAUGACAGUACCGGGAGAAUAAGCUCCGGCUAACUCCGUG
rnacentral:rRNA from 1 species